rnacentral:rRNA from 1 species
GACGAACGCUGGCGGCGUGCUUAACACAUGCAAGUCGAACGGUGACGAGGAGCUUGCUCCUCUGAUCAGUGGCGAACGGGUGAGUAACACGUGAGCAACCUGCCCCAGACUCUGGGAUAACAGUUGGAAACAGCUGCUAAUACCGGAUACGAGACGGAGGGGGCAUCUCUACCGUCUGGAAAGUUUUCGGUCUGGGAUGGACUCGCGGCCUAUCAGCUAGUUGGUGAGGUAAUGGCUCACCAAGGCGACGACGGGUAGCCGGCCUGAGAGGGCGACCGGCCACACUGGGACUGAGACACGGCCCAGACUCCUACGGGAGGCAGCAGUGGGGAAUAUUGCACAAUGGGCGAAAGCCUGAUGCAGCGACGCCGCGUGAGGGAUGACGGCCUUCGGGUUGUAAACCUCUUUCAGCAGGGAAGAAGCGAAAGUGACGGUACCUGCAGAAGAAGCACCGGCUAACUACGUG